GCACGUGUUUCUGUACUUGGCCUCUGUUCAGAUGAAAAGUGACGUUCUGUGAAGUAGCAGGAAGCAUCAUCCACCCUCGCUGGGCCUCAGUUUCCUCCCCUGACUUGUGAUCAUCCAGUUGGAACCCGGGGCUCCUCACCACCUCUCACACAUCCCCUUUCAUCUCUUCCACCGUACACAAAGGCUCUUUCCUGCAUUCUGAGGGAAAGAGUAGCUAAGUUCUUUGUGGUCUCUGAGGAGGACAGAUGCACCUGAACAGGAUGUAAGAACGCUUGCUCUGUGCAGAAAGAGAAUGCUGACUGCCUUAGCACUUUAUACGAACACAAGGAAGAAAUUGAGUUAGUUAAUCUGAAAUAUAAGACACAACAAGAUCACAUUAUCAACUUAUGAAUAUGUUUAUGUGAUUGAUUCAUGCUCAAGAAAUUUAACAGGUCGACAACGAGACUCACUUCUCCCUACAGAAGAGGACAGAGCCCAAGAAAAACCCCAACACAGUUUUCCUAACCAAAGUGAUCAGACAGUGUAGGACAUGGGCACAAACCAGACACGGAUUCCUGGCCAAGAUGGAAAAGUUGGCCAAAAUGGAAAUAGACCGCUUGGCCAGUGUCCAGGGACAAGCAUGGCCUACUCUGUCAUGGACAAAAGGGCACAUGACAGUAGGGAGCUAGGUCAGACAUUAUAUCCAAGUUAAGCGGCAGGUACAUGACAAUAAUAAUCAACUAAAAUCCUAAUCAAGAUCCAGGAUGGUGCCAAUGUGCCAAGAAAAGCCUAGUCCAACUCUGACAUGAACCUGCCCAAUAGACAAAACUCACCAAAUGAAGACCAGGAACAACACCAAAGUAAGUUUCUUACCAAAUAGGGGAGACUCCUACCCCCGUGUUUAGGAGUAG
rnacentral:lncRNA from 1 species